AUGUUUGCUUUUAGGAUUUCGUAUCUAGCUCAACCAAAGAAGUCGAAGACCAUUUGGGCCACAACACCUUGGAUCCUGACAUGGGGAAACCAGGAAUCGAUACGACCGCUGUCCCGCUCAGCACUGCAAGCCAUUCCGAGCCCCAGAAUAAAGGCUCUGGCCCAGCCUAAGAAAGACUUCUGCCUCCAGAUCCAGCUCAGGAAAGAGGAAGAGGAGGAGAGAUGGAUGAAGAUCUCCCGCCCUUCCUCUCAUGCAGUGCAGUACGAGAACCUUGUCCGUCUUUCAACUCCCAAAACCCGAGGAAGAAGUGCCCAGGAAGUGAAGUGUCUAGAGGAGCAAGAAUCGCCACAGCGAGUGCCCGAAUCCAAGCUUUAUCCACUCCUAAAGCCCUCUCUAAAGAUUACAUCCCACCCAGAGAAGCAACAUGGCAGCCCUGAGAAAACAAGACCGACCACAAAGCUGUGGUUUCCAGCACAUCCAUCAUCUGCAGUUAUUGUAUUUUGUCACUUUCUCACACCUUCCUUUUCCUAUCAGGAGCUUGUUGAUUGGUUGAGCUCUCUUUGCUUUCGCUCUGGUUUUCUAAUCAGUCUCAGAUUUUGA
rnacentral:lncRNA from 1 species